ACAAGUAACGGAACCGGGGCAGUGCCGGCUGGAUGCCAGAAAGUUGUUUUGUCGAAACCAGUAAAGGAAUUACGAAAGUGUUAUGAUUGUAAAAGAUUAUUCACUGGGUGAAGAGUUUGAGAAGAAGAGGAGCAGUCACUGACUUGGACGCUAAACUUUAUUUUACUGUGCGUCAUGAUUUCCAGUCCCAGGCCGCCGCCGACUGACAGAGGAAAAGUUGUACCGUUGGACCGUAAUCACUGAUGAGACCAGCCGGAGUUGAAUGGAGUAAACGAGGAGAUGAAUUUCGGUGUCCCCGCCAAUUCGCUGCUGCUUCUCCGUGCCUGUGACGAGGGGGACUAUGAAACCGCUCGGGGGAUACUGGAGCCCGGAGCCCCGAAGGAGUCCGGGCGGCAGAGCAGGCUGCGGUCAGAAGCGGGGUCUGAGUGCAGCACCGCGGACAUGUUGGCUCUGGUGCCGGUGGACUGCACGGACGAGGAGGGAAACACCGCCCUGCAGUUUGCCUCGGCCAGCGGUCAUGAGAACCUGGUCCGGUUCUUGCUGCGAAAGGGGGCCUCGGUGGACAGCCGCAACAACUACGGCUGGACCCCGCUGAUGCAGGCUGCUAGGUUUGGUCACCUGACAGUUGCCCACAUCCUCCUGGAGAACGGGGCAGAGAUUAAUGGACGGAACAGGCUAGGUGCGAGCGUCUUGACUAUGGCGGCCCGUGGGGGACACACUCAUGUAGUCAAGCUACUCCUGGAAAGCGGGGCAUACGUUGAUGAUUAUGAUCAUCUGGCUGUUGCUGCGGAGUCAGUGUCAAACGGCAACAACAACAACAGCUGCAGCGCGGCUGGUUUUGGAGGUGGUGAAGGUUGUCCAGGUGGAGGAGGUGGCAGAGAAUUCAUGGACAUCAUAGCCCUGAUGGUGGCAUGUCAGCAUGGUCAUGAGGCUGCGGUCCGCCUGCUGCUAGAGUGGGGCUCUGAUGUCAACUUUUCCCAGAAGACCACAGGUUGGGGACCGCUGAUGGUGGCCACCCUCAGUGGCAAGGUGGCUGUGGCUCAGCAGCUGGUGGAGCGUGGAGCUGACCCCGACCGAGUCAAUGUCCUGUCCAAGACGGCCUUUGAACUGGCCAUGCAGCUCAAACAGAGAGACAUCAAGGCCUAUCUGGACUCCAUCACCACUGUCCGACCUCAGACAGACGACGAGAGAAGAAGACCAGAUGUGUUCAGUGCUCUAAAGUUGGGGAAUUCCCAGCUCGUCAAAGAGAUCUUGGAGGAGGAUCCUACUCAGGUGAAUUCAUCCAAUCAGGAGGGAGCGUCACCCCUUAUGAUGGCGGCGGUGAGCGGUCAGUUGGAGGUGGUGCAGCUGAUGGUGGAGAAGAAAGCCGACAUAGACAAACAAGACGGCGUCCAUGGGUGGACGGCUUUAAUGCAGGCCACCUAUCAUGGUAAUAAAGACAUUGUCAAGUACCUGUUGAGUCAAGGGGCUGACGUCAACCUGCGAGCUAAGAAUGGAUACACAGCCUUUGAUUUGGUCAUGUUGCUGAACGACCCAGACACUGAGCUGGUGCGUCUGUUGGCGUCAGUGUGCAUGCAAGUCGACAAAGACAAGUCGAAACACCGGGGCAGAGCCUUAAUGACUCGCUCCAAAAGCAGACAGUCCCUCAACAACGUCCCUGUUCCACCUGACGACAAGGGAGGCCUUAAGUCCUGGUGGAGUCGGAUGUCCAAUCGUUUCCGUCGGCUUAAGCUGACUCACACCCUGAGGCACGGUCUUUCAUCCAACCGCCUGGCUCCAUUUCCAGACGACACUGAAACCUCACUGGACGCUACAAUGAAGGCCAAUAGGAAGCCUGCUGCCGUGUCUAAUGGGGCGCUGGCACAAACUCCUGCCCUGGGAGGGAACGACGUCAGCGCUGCCUGGGCUGUCAAGAGCAAAGACGCUGGCCUUUGCAGGGCAUCCUCAGAAAAGGAGGACUUUCUUAUAACCACAAUGCUCAGAAGUGGUGCGCCCUUGACCCGGCUGCCCAAUGACAAGCUGAAAGCGGUGAUCCCUCCCUUCCUGCCUCCGUCCAACUUCGAACCGUGGAACUCUGACCGUUCACGUCUCCUCCGGGAGGGAAAAAGCGAGGUGCCCCGCCUGCCUAUGCCACCUCAGAGGAAGCUGAACAGCAGUGGCAACUCAGAUAUUACGUCUAUCAGUCGUGUGGUAAGCAGGUCCAUAAAGUUUCCCAGCAUCCCCAAGGGGCCGUCCUCAUCCUCUCCUUCAAACUCUGGUCACUACCACUCCCCACACUCCUCAGGAGGCUCCAAUGGAGUGGCGGGGAUCAACCGGGACUCUCACAACCGUUCAGGGGGCAGUGCAGACAGUGUUCUCUCUCAGAUAGCAGCUCAAAGGAAGCGAGCAGCAGGCCUGAUAGAGGUGAAGGCUCAGCCUCCAGAGAAACAGCCCAGUCAGACACAGAGCCAAAUCCCACCACCACCCUCAGCACCCGGGCUGCCACUGCCUGAUAUCAGCCUUCCUGACAUCCACUCCCACCCCAGUCUGGUGGCUUCGGACAUCCACUCCAGAAGGAAGAUGGAGUUGAAGAAGAGACCUCAGUCAGGGAAUUCCUCCACCUCUAAGAGCACUUCGCCCACUUUGACGCCGUCUCCUUCCCCGACACCAAAGCCUCCCACUGGGCCGGGAGACUCUCUGUCCUCAGCCUCUUCCCAUCCUCGCUCCAAGAGCAGCGGGGGGUCCAGUAGUGGAACCAUAACUGAUGAAGAUGAGCUGUCUGGUAUAUUGAAGAAACUGUCCCUGGAGAAAUACCAGCCCAUAUUUGAGGAGCAGGAGGUGGACAUGGAGGCGUUCCUGACUCUAACAGAUGGAGACCUGAGGGAGCUGGGCAUUAAAACGGACGGACCUAGACAACAGAUCUUGGCAGCCAUAUCAGAGCUCAAUGCUGGAAAGGUGCAUUUGGUCGCAAAUGUAUUUUGCAUCUCCACAGAAACCUCCAGUGGGCAGAGAGAGGCAGAUCCUUCAAGAGACCAUCCAUAACUUCCAGUCUUCCUUUGGUAGCAGCGCCAGCAACCCAAGACAAGCUGGUGAACCACGCUCACCUACAGGCUGGAUGAGACACCAGGUUCGUUCGUCCAACAAAAGGUAGCCCUGCAGCCCUGAUGCCUGCCAGGAAGUACACCAAAGGUACUUAGAAUAAGAGUAAAAUGCCGCUGAACUCUAAGCAAAGGCAAAAAUAAUAUGGAUGUCUUCUGGACGUCGGUGUCCAAGACCACUAGCGGUGUUAGUGCAAGAGGACGCUGCAGCAAAAUGGCCAACCACACCCUGAUAAUCUGCCUUUGUAGGACCCUCCAGGACCAAACUGCACUAAAGUAUUCCUCUUAUGGAUCCUAAAGCGGGGGGAUGGGGCUGGCUGAGUCCAGUGCCCUGCUGCUUUUUCACAAAGCACAUGAUUACCUGGCAAGUUAUUUUUUAUGCUAUAGUGAUACGGUUGCUACAUCUACUGUUAUUGCUGCACAUGGGAGAGUUCAGAAAGAUGAGAAGAUCAAAUCCACAGCAGAGGGAGAGCAAGCGAGAGCCAAGAGAGAGAUUAUUUUAUCCAAACAAAUGUGAGAGAUAUAGCACAUGUAUUGUAAAAAUGGCAAGGUACGUGAGGAGAAAAGAAGAGAGAGAUUCUGAGUAUAUUAAUAAAAUAUAAUAAUAAAACAGGUAUUAGCCAGUAAUACUGUGAUUGAGACUUUAAAGCAGUGGAGAUGACAGUAAAGGUGCACUGAUGAGGAAAGAAUAUGGAGAGAGAGAGGGACGUUAGCUGAGUGAUUUUUUUUGUCUUUGACUGCUCGCACUAGUGUUUUGAUGCCGUUUGUUUAUUGGUCACUAUGUAAGAAAAUGAUUUUUAGUCAGGACUGUGCCAUCAUAAAUAAAUAAACGUUAAGCAAUAACUAUGUUUUUUAUUUACUGUUUAAAAUCUCAUUGGACUGGAGAUGAGCAGAUAUUGGCAAAAACGCUUUGGGAGCAUUUUACGAGCAGCGUAAAUUUAGAUUGAAAGAGUACAUUAAGCAAUAGUUUCCAGGGAGUCUAAUCUAUGUUUUGCAUCUGGCUGUACCAUUAAACAGUUGGGCUGCAUGCAGAAAGACUGAGCGUUGUAUCGUUUCUAAAUAUCAGGUACUUAUAAUAUGUAUCUAAAAUCAGCUGUGGCAGAGUUCAGAUAUGAGAUGCGCUCAAUCAUGCAAUGAGUUUGGGAAAGAUGAAUAAACUCAAAAUUUCAAAAAAGGAAUCUGGAUGAUAAAAUGAGUCACUAAACAGAAAUAAACGUUUUGCCCAAACUAGCAAGUGAAAUAAAC